GACGAACGCUGGCGGCGUGCCUAAUACAUGCAAGUCGAACGCACUCUCGUUUAGAUUGAAGGAGCUUGCUCCUGAUUGAUAAACAUUUGAGUGAGUGGCGGACGGGUGAGUAACACGUGGGUAACCUGCCCUAAAGUGGGGGAUAACAUUUGGAAACAGAUGCUAAUACCGCAUAAAACCUAAACACCGCAUGGUGUAGGGUUGAAAGAUGGUUUCGGCUAUCACUUUAGGAUGGACCCGCGGUGCAUUAGUUAGUUGGUGAGGUAAAGGCUCACCAAGACCGUGAUGCAUAGCCGACCUGAGAGGGUAAUCGGCCACACUGGGACUGAGACACGGCCCAGACUCCUACGGGAGGCAGCAGUAGGGAAUCUUCCACAAUGGACGAAAGUACUGAUGGAGCAACGCCGCGUGAGUGAAGAAGGUUUCGGAUCGUAAAACUCUAGUUGUUGGAGAAGAAUGUAUCUGAUAGUAACU
rnacentral:rRNA from 1 species